AAUUUAACCUUAUUAAUAAUAUAAUGUGAAGUAAAAUUCGAGAAGUAAUAAAAUUAUUUUGGAAUAAUAUAUUUUUAGUAAAAUGAAUUGAAAAAAAGGUAAAAAGGAAUAAUAGAGCAGAGUACUGUAAAGGAAAGGUGAAAUAAAUUGAAAAAGAAAUUAAUUAAAAGUAAAAAUAAAAGUUUGUACCUUGUGUAUUAGGGAAGAUCAAAAUUAGUUUAUAAUAUGAAAAGUCCCGAAAAAAGAAGAGCUAAUAUAAUCUGGUAGUUUUCGUUUUAAUGAAAUUAUAAAGCUUAUAUUAGUAGUGAAACGCUAGACGAUUCUUUAUAUCUGGUUACCAGUGAAUUAAAUUAAAUUUAGUUGCUUUAAAUUGGUGCAGAAAACUAAAAAGCAAUAAAGAGCAGGAGGGAAAAGCUUCUUGUUCUAACAUAAAGGUAUUAUAAUAUUUCUUAUAAAACAGCAUUGGAUUAGGCUUGAAAACAGCCAUAUUUAUAAAACGUUCUAGUUAAUACGGGCGGUAUAUUAUUAUUUAUAUUAGUAAUAUUUGAUAAAAAGUAGCUGGUAUUUUUUGUUAAUAAUAGAUAAAAAGUUAUAAUGAUUUUAUUAGUAGAAAUAGUUGUGAAAAGAAAAAAGUAGAAUAAUAAUGAGAUUAUUAAAUAGAGUGAAAGAUAUAAUUAAGGAACUCGGCAAAUGUUGCUUUUGCCUGUUUAUCAAAAACAUGUCUAUAUGAUUGUUAUAUAAAGUCUAGCCUGCCCACUGAUUUGUUUUAAAGGGCCGCGGUAUAUUGACCGUGCGAAGGUAGCAUAAUCAUUAGUCUUUUAAUUGGAGGCUUGUAUGAAUGGUUGGACAAAAAGUAAGCUGUCUCGAUUAUAAUAAUUGAACUUAACUUUUAAGUGAAAAGGCUUAAAUGUUUCAGGGGGACGAUAAGACCCUAUAAAGCUUGACAAUAACUUCGUUAUAUUAUAAAUUGUUAGUAUAACUUGAUUUUAACGGGGGUUUGUUUCGUUGGGGCGACGGGAAUAUAAUAAAUAACUGUUCUUUUAAAUAUAAUUACAAAAAUGUUUGGUAAAUAAUUGAUCCUCUAUUAGAGAUUAAAAGAUUAAGUUACUUUAGGGAUAACAGCGUAAUCUUCUUUGAGAGUCCACAUCGACAAGAAGGUUUGCGACCUCGAUGUUGAAUUAAGGUAUCCUUAUAAUGCAGCAGUUAUAAAGGAGGGUCUGUUCGACCUUUAAAUCCUUACAUGAUUUGAGUUCAGACCGGCGUGAGCCAGGUCGGUUUCUAUCUCCUGAUUUAGGUAAAACUAUCCUAGUACGAAAGGAUUGGGUAGUUGGAAUAGUUCUUGAAGGAAUUGAUUGGUUUUAAUCGGU
rnacentral:rRNA from 1 species